rnacentral:rRNA from 1 species
UACGAAGGGUGCAAACGUUGCUCGGAAUUAUUGGGCGUAAAGCGCACGUAGGCGGCUUUGUAAGUCGGAUGUGAAAUCCCCGGGCUCAACCUGGGAAUUGCAUUUGUGACUGUACGGCUAGAGUGUGUCAGAGGGGGGUAGAAUUCCACGUGUAGCAGUGAAAUGCGUAGAGAUGUGGAGGAAUACCGAUGGCGAAGGUAGCCCCCUGGGUCAAUACUGACGCUCAUGCACGAAAGCGUGGGGAGCAAACAGG